AACGAACGCUGGCGGCAUGCCUAACACAUGCAAGUCGAACGAGACCUUCGGGUCUAGUGGCGCACGGGUGCGUAACGCGUGGGAACCUGCCCUUAGGUUCGGAAUAACUCCCCGAAAGGGGUGCUAAUACCGGAUAAUGUCUUCGGACCAAAGAUUUAUCGCCUUUGGAUGGGCCCGCGUUGGAUUAGCUAGUUGGUAGGGUAAAAGCCUACCAAGGCGACGAUCCAUAGCUGGUCUGAGAGGAUGAUCAGCCACACUGGGACUGAGACACGGCCCAGACUCCUACGGGAGGCAGCAGUGGGGAAUAUUGGACAAUGGGCGAAAGCCUGAUCCAGCAAUGCCGCGUGAGUGAUGAAGGCCUUAGGGUUGUAAAGCUCUUUUACCCGGGAUGAUAAUGACUGUACCGGGAGAAUAAGCGCCGGCUAACUCCGUG
rnacentral:rRNA from 1 species